GGUUUGUGGCUCAGCGGUAGAACACUUGCCCAGCAUGUAUGAGGCCCUGGGUUCGAUCCUCUGCACCA
rnacentral:tRNA from 1 species